rnacentral:lncRNA from 1 species
GCCGGCCCCACCCCCUCUUCCCUGAUGUUUGGAUCAUGCUGCCAGCUGUCACGCCCUUUGGCACAUGAUUGCUUAAUAUGUUUCCACCUUCUUCUGGCAGGAUUCCCUUCAAUGAAGAUCCCAACCCCAAUACUCACUCAUCAGGACCCUCAACCCCUCUGAAAAACCAAACUUAUUCCUUUUCACCUUCCAAGUCCUACAGUCGGCAGUCCUCUUCUUCUGACACAGAUUUGAGUUUGACACCCAAGACUGGUAAGGCGCUUCCACCCACCUUUUGUGUUUCCUCGUAAGAACUUGUUUCUGUUCCCUGUUAGCUGCCCAUCCAAACCUUUCCUCCUGUUUCUGCAUUUAAGUUAAAGUUAAUGGAAUGCUGAUCAUUGCGGUUAUUAAAGUUAAUUUUUUUUGUAGAGAUACUAUUUUGUUUGGACAGUGAUAUUUUAAUUAAUUUAGUUAUUGUUGAUAUCAAGUCCAGAGUUUAUUUUUGGGUGUUGCCAUUCUUCAUUUCAUGUUGAAGUCAAGAGGAAUGCUAUCUUAAAACAUUUGCAUAGUAACCCUAGAAGUCUGCACUCAAAUUGCAGUUUUGAACCAUAAUUCCUCUUAAGCAUAUGAUUAAUUUAUUUCUUAUUCAUUUUCAUUUUAGAAUUUAGUUCUGUGUUUCUAUUAUGGGAGUAGUUCAGAACUGGAAUGGUUGUAUAGCAGUUCAUCUGCUUUUUGGCUUAAGG